rnacentral:lncRNA from 12 species
CGGCUUUAGGUUGUUUCAAUCCUUCUGGAACACGCCAGCCGAGCGCUCCAUGGGAAUAAAACAUUUGCUUCGUUUCUGCCUAAAGUCCUAGAAGAAUAUUCCAAGUCAAACUUGUGGGUAAGAGAAGAUGCUGAGUACCAGAAUGAGAAGAAGCUGACAUUACCUACUACAGAGACUUUAAGUCACUGGGUAAGGGUAUUCCACAUGAUCAAACUGUUGGAACUUUUUCACAAAGCAAUGUUACCUCUGGGAUCACAAGGAGACUUCCAGCCACCAGGAGUGUUGCUGCACUCCGCUGAGAGGCAGACCCUGAUACAGAGUGAGCUCCCGUUCCCUCCUCUCCUGGUGGCCUGCAGGAAUGGGGACCACGGCGCCAGAGAAGAGGCAGAUGGGCAGCAGGAGGGAGCCUCAGACCAGGCAAAGAUCUCAGCUGGAGAGUUUUAUCUACAGGCUGUCUUCCUGACCAUCAUUAACUCCUUCAUUUCCAGAACCACUCCUGCAGCAGUUCCUGUUCAGAAUUUUUAAGAAGAUUUCCCAUUAUACAAAGUAACAAAUGUCAUUAAGUCACUAAUCAAGAAGACCUCUGUCCAAAUUGCUCAAUUCUCUUCAAUGAACUGUUUUAACAGAUCCAGAAACUUUACCCAAG